AUGAUUUCAGUUGCCAAAAAAAAGUCAUUUACAAGCAGCUCUUCCUAUGUCCAAUUAAGCAAUAGCCAAACAUGUUAGAGAGAGAAGAAAAGCUUCUGUAGGGAAAGCAGGAGCAACGUGAGAGAGAUAGAGACCUGGUGCACUCCACACAAAGGAAAACAAAAAGAAUGUGCAGAGAACUCUAAGGAAAAGCUAAGGAAAACAUGAAUCCAUUCCAAAAAAUCCAGCGAAUGUGAAGAGAUUCGUAUCAACCAAUACCAUCAUCCAAAUGGUUCAAAUUCUGGCUCUGUUUCUAACUUCUGUGUGUCAUUAGGACAGUGAUAAAGAAUCUUGAUUUUAGAGUUGGAAGGUAUAUUUUGAAGAAUGGGAGAAGUAAUGAAGAAUUAGAGAAAAGUAAGUCCUGAUUUUCAAAAAUUAAAAAAAAGAAAUGUAGUCUCUGUAAAUAAUAGUCCAGUCAAUAUGGCUUUUAUUCUUGGAAGAAAAUCUAGAACAUAUUAAAAACAUGCAAAUUAAUGAAAAUCUGGAAAAGAAAGAAAUAAUCAUAACAAUUAACAUAGUUUUGUUAAUGUGCCCUCUUUUGACUGAAUUAACAGAGCAGAAUAUACCUGUACAUUUACAUCUAUGCCAUUCACCUGAACCUUGUUGGACAAAAUAUUUCAUUUCUUUGUGGAAAAAACUAAAGCAGAUGAUGGUAGAAUUAAAUUGUUUCAGAACCAGCUGAAUGGCCAUACUCAAAGAAGUGUCUUUAAUGGGUCUGUGCUACCUUUCAUGCUUUCUUUGAUUGUCUUGGAUGUUGAGUUUUGUUCUUGUGCUUUUUAUCAUUUUUUUAAAUAAAUAAAUAACCCCCAUGACACACUUGUCAAAUUCACAUUUGAUAACAUAGAGGGAUAGCUAGAAUUUGACUUAUGGAGUGAGAAUUCUCAGUUCACCUGCCCCCAAAAUCUUCACAAGCUGGGAUGGGGGACUGGAACUCAUAAAUGUAAUUUGAGAGAUAAAUAUAAAAAUCUCAUAAUUUGGUUUAAAAUCUUCCUCUCCAGUACAAAAUUGGGAAAUAUAAUUAGACAAUCAUCCAUCUGAUAAAAUCAUGGAUUUAAGUGAGUCAUGACUCAAAAGUAUGAUAUAACAGUCAAAAAAGUUUAUGUAAUAUUAAGGCUACCUUGAAAGCCAUAGUAGCCUGAACUAGGGAGAUUAUAAUUCUAUGGCAAUUAAGAGAAACCAUUACUGAUAGGUAAUUAUGUGGGGGAGGUCAAGACUUUUUUUCUGUCCUAUCUUCUUGUUCAGAAUCUAGCAUUUAAAAGACAUUACUGACCUCUGCAAAAAAUAUAUUCCACCUAGAAGUCUUAUCUAAGAUGAAUUGCUACCAUUGUGUUCCACUCAAACAAGUAGGGUUGGAGUUAGAUCUUUGUCUAUAUUGCACAAGUGUUGGGAUAGAGACAUAGCCUCUUUGUCCAAGAGUGACAUGAUAUCACUUUCUUAAGGCAUCAUUAGAAUGAGUCCACUUCUAAUUGUAAUGUUCAUUCUCAUUAAUUUUUAACUAAUCAGUAUUGACUUCCCCCUCUGAAAUUCUAACUUUAUGAAGUGCACAUAAAACUUGAACCCUUUGCCAUAAAGAAUUUUUAGCAUUUGAGAGCUCCACUAAUUUCUUUUGUUAAUAAAAAGCUAGUGUUAAUAAAAUAAUAA